AUUCUGCUGCCUCAGCCUCCCGAGUAGCUGGGGCCGAGGCGGGUGGAUCUGAAGGUUUUGUAAGUGGCUCUUCCCCUUUCACUCAGCAUUUCUUCUUCCUGCCGCCUUGUGAAGAAGAUGCCUUUCUUCCCCUUCACCUUCUGCCAUGAUUGUACGUUUCCUGAGGCCUCCCCAGCCAUGCAGAACUGAUGAAGGUCACAUCCAUAUUAAUUGCCCUGAUAAUGAAACCUUCCUGGAGGCCACCUGUCAGAACAUCUGGAGCUCUUGUUGUUACUGCUUCCAACAAGGCCCAUUUCCAUCCCUACGCUGACUUCAAAGACCCAUCUUCAAGGUUGAUGUGGAAAGAAUCAGAAGAAAGUAGCAUUGAAAAGAACUUGAAAUUCUUGUGCACUUUUAAAGUCCCUCUCACAG